GAAAAGAAACUAACAAGGAUUCCCCUAGUAACUGCGAGUGAAGCGGGAAGAGCUCAAAUUUUGAAUCUGGCGGUCUUCGGCCGUCCGAGUUGUAAUCUAGAGAAGCGUUUUCCGCGCUGGACCGUGUAUAAGUUUCCUGGAAGGGAGCGUCGUAGAGGGUGAGAAUCCCGUCUUUGACACGGACUACCAGUGCUAUGUGAUGCGCUCUCGACGAGUCGAGUUGUUUGGGAAUGCAGCUCAAAAUGGGUGGUAAAUUCCAUCUAAAGCUAAAUACAGGCGAGAGACCGAUAGCGAACAAGUACCGUGAGGGAAAGAUGAAAAGAACUUUGGAAAGAGAGUUAAACAGUACGUGAAAUUGCUGAAAGGGAAACGCUUGAUGUCAGUCGCGUCGGCCGGGGAUCAACCUUGCUUCUCGUUGGGUGUACUUCCCGGUGGACGGGUCAGCAUCAGUUUCGGUCGCCGUACAAGGGUGAGGGGAACGUGGCACUCUUCGGAGUGUGUUAUAGCCUUUCGUCGCAUGCGGUGGUGGGGACUGAGGAACUCAGCACGGCUUCGGUCUGUGCUCAGGAUGCUGGC
rnacentral:rRNA from 1 species